GGUCGAAGCACGUAAGGGCAUAUGGUGGAUGGCUUGGUAUGAAGGAGCCGACGAAAGACGUGGCAGCCUGCGAUAAGUCUCGGGGAGGUGGCAAGCAACCUUUGAUCCGGGAAUCUCUGAAUGGGGCAACCCCUAUUGGUGAAGCCAAUAGACCCACGACUGAAUACAUAGGUCGUGUGGAGGGAACGUGGGGAAGUGAAACAUCUCAGUACCCACAGGAAAAGAGAAAAAGAAAACGCAGACUUCUUGUCUCGCGGAAUCAAAUUGGUUCCGGUGAGACAAGAUGUCUGCUCGAUUCCGUUAGUAGCGGCGAGCGAAAGCGGAUCAGUCUAAACUUAUUAUUUCAGUCUCUACACCGAGUUGGACGCAAGUUUGACCGCGGAUGGAGAUGAUGAGCUUGAGCUGUCGAAUAAUAGGUGUUGCGGACGGAAUGCUCGGUCACUCAAGAGACCGGUUUGUGAGUAGAUCAUGAUAGUCGAACCUGCUGGAAAGCGGGGCCAAAGACGGUGAUAGCCCGGUAGAUGAAAUCAUUUAGAUCUCCGCAGAUAUUCCUGAUCCAAAGUACGACGGGGCUCGAGAAACCCCGUCGGAAGCAGCCACGACGAUGUGGCAAGACUAAAUACUCCUUCUGACCGAUAGUGAACAAGUACAGUGAUGGAACGCUGAAAAGCAGCCCGGGAGGGCGAUGAAAUAGUAUCUGAAACCAUAUGCUUACAAGGAGGUGGAGCGGCGCAAGCCGUCACACCGUUCCUAUUGAAGAAUGAGCCAACGAGUGAGUUCCGCGUUGCGCGGUUAAGUUCCUGAGGGAACGAAGCCAUAGUGAAAGCGAGCCUGAAUAGGGCGUUUGUAGCGCGGACUCGACCCGAAACCCGGCGAGCUAGCCAUGACCAGGAUGAAGGUUCAAGAAAUUGAACUGGAGGUCCGAACCCACGAGCCGUGCAACACUCGGGGAUGAGUUGUGGCUAGGGGUGAAAUUCCAAUCGAGCUGGGUGAUAGCUGGUUCUCCCUGAAAUAGAUUUUGGUCUAGCGUUGAUUAAUAGCAUUACGGGGGUAGAGCACUGAAUGGGGACACGGGCGCAAGCUUAGUGUUCCUAACCAAACUCCGAAUACCGUAAUGUGUUCCCAACAGUAAGACGGUGGGGGCUAAGCUCCACACGUCAAAAGGGAAACAGCCCUUGAUCGCAGACUAAGGUCCCUAAUUGUGUACUCAGUGUGAAAGGUGGUCGGACGACUUAUACAACCAGGAGGUUGGCUUAGAAGCAGCCAUCCUUUAAAGAAAGCGUAAUAGCUCACUGGUCAAGUUAUCCGGCGCCGAAAACUUAUCGGGGCUUAAGUACACAACCGAAGUCGCGGAUUGAUGAAUCCUCUGGGAUUCUUUCAGUGGUAAGGGAGCAUUCGCAACUGCGCUGAAGCGAAAGGCGUGAGCCAUCGUGGAGCGUUGCGAAGUGAGAAUGUUGGCAUAAGUAGCAAAAAGACGGGUGAGAAUCCCGUCCACCGUAAACCCAAGGUUUCCAGGGCAACGAAAAUCGCCCCUGGGUUAGCCGGCCCUAAGACGAGGCCGAAAGGCGUAGUCGAUGGACAGCAGGUGAAUAUUCCUGCGCUACCACAGUUUUUCGAUGGAGAGACGCAUUCUUGCAUCUUCAGAGAGUCCCGGAAUGACUCUUUGGGCGCGAAGGGGUGCUCUGUAGGCAAAUCCGCAGAGCAUAAGCCUCGUCGUGAGCGCGAGCCUGACGCAAGUCGGGCAAGUGAAGAGAAUGGGGUGCCGAGAAAAUCUUCUAGAGCUAAGGCUGUGGUAACCGUACCGUAAACCGACACAGGUGGGUGGGCGUAAGUGUGCUCAGGUGUACGAGAGAAACCAUGUUUAGGAACUCGGCAAUACAACGGCCGUAACUUCGGGAUAAGGCCUGGCUGCCGCAAGGCAGCCUUCAACAAAAGACGCUUACCGACUGUUUACCAAAAACACAGCUUCCUGCUAAACCGCAAGGUGAUGUAUAGGAAGUGAUGCCUGGCCAGUGUCAGAACGUUAAGCGGAGAGGUCAUGGACUUCGGUCCGGCAGCCUUGAAGCCAAGCGCUGAUGAACGCCGGCGAUAACUAUAAUCGUCCUAAGGUAGCGAAAUUCCUUGUCGGGUGAGUUCCGACCCGCACGAAUGGCAUAACGAGUGAGCGACUGUCUCAACAUGGUACUCGGUGAAAUUGCAAGUGGGGUGAAGAUGCCCUGUACGCGUAGUCAGACGAAAAGACCCCGUGAAGCUUUACUACAACUUGAUAUUGGGUCGCGUGCUUUCAUGUUCAGCAUAGGUGGGAGCCUUCGGGCGCCAGUGAGAUACCACCCUUGAACUUACGCGAUUCUUGAUCUCUCUCCAUGAAUCUGGAGGGGGAGACAGUAUCUGGUGGGUAGUUUAACUGGGGCGGUUGCCUCCUAAAAUGUAACGGAGGCGUUCACAAAGGUCAGCUAGGUACGGAUGGAAAUCGUACCGGUUCCGCAAUGGGACAAGCUGGCUUAACUGCGAGACCAACAAGUCGAGCAGAUACGAAAGUAGGACAUAGUGAUCCGACCGUACGAUAUCGGACGGCGGAAGCUCAACGGAUAAAAGCUACUCCGGGGAUAACAGGCUGAUCUGGUCCAAGAGUCCACAUCGACGACCAGGUUUGGCACCUCGAUGUCGGCCCAUCGCAUCCUGGGGCUGUAGAAGGUCCCAAGGGUUAGGCUGUUCGCCUAUUAAAGCGGUACGCGAGCUGGGUUCAGAACGUCGUGAGACAGUUCGGUCUCCUGUCUACUACGCGCGUGGAAUAUUGAGGGAGCGAAUCUCUAGUACGAGAGGACCGAGAUUCACGAACCUCUAGUGUACCUGCUGUCCCACCAGGGGCAUCGCAGGGUAGCUACGUUCGGCGCAGAUAAACGCUGAAAGCAUCUAAGCGUGAAGCUGUUCCCAAGAUUAGUAUUCAGCAAGAGCCCUCCGAGACGAGGAGGUUGAUAGGCCAUAGGUGUAAGCCCCGCGAGGGGUUGAGCCGAGUGGUACUAAUAGCUCAUUGCUUCGACCUU
rnacentral:rRNA from 1 species